UUUCUAUUACAUGUUCUUAACUAAUAAUAGUCUUUAUCUUGAGUUAAAGAUAACGCACUUAUUAGUCGUAAUCAUUUAUAUAACAGAAAAACUUGUUUUGGAACAUCAAGCGAUAUAUAAACCUGAUUUGCUUAUUUUUUCUAGAGGAAAGGGGCCAUGAUAGGCCCCUUUCC
rnacentral:sRNA from 1 species